GCCAGACACUUAAGACGUGCACAAAACAAAGGAUUUACAGAGAGAGAGAGAAAAAAAUCGUCACGGUGUUUGACAAAAAGCAUUCCAUUUGCAUUAUCUGUGCAUAUUAGUAAAGUAACAAACCACAAGCCAGGACGUCACUAAGUGGUAUUUAAGAGGCAGCGUCACAGGUGAAUGGAGAGAAGUGGAAGAACUGAAGCAUAGAAUAACUAUUGGACCACUGAGACAGCAGCGGAUUACCGAUCAACGUGUUCAGCAUAAUAUAUCUGCUAAAGAUUCUUAUUAUAACCACUGCACUCUUUCCAGAAUGGAGGGAAAAGCUUUUAUUAUAAUGUGCAUUCUCAUUGCAAAAGUCCAAUCCCAAAGUACAACAAUCUCCGUAACAGAUUCAACAUCAUCACUAUCAUCUGUUAGUACAACCAACACCUCCGCAACAUCCACAGCUACAACUUCUUCAACAACCACUACAGCUCCUGCUGAAACAUUCACCACUACUGCAGGAGUUACCACAACAGCACCACAAACUACUGUUACAACAACUGAAUCCUCCACAACAGCCACAACAACAAAUGCACCCUCAACUAUAGUUUGUUCAAAUCCAUGCACAAAACCAACAACUUUAACCCCAACAGGUUCUACCUCUGUCACAACAACUCUUACUGAGUCAUCAACCAUUAGUGCACCAGUCACAUCUGCUCAGUCUACAGCCUCUACAGCAUCUACAGAGCCUACAGCUUCUACAGUCUCAUCCACAUCUUCUCAGUCUACAGCAUCUACAGAUUCUACAAUAUCUACAGCAUCUACAGAGACUACAGCUCCUAUAGUAUCUACAGCUUCUACAGUGUCAGCCACAUCUGCUCAGUCUACAGCAUCAACAGCAUCUACAGUAUCUACAGCAUCUACAGAAUCUACAGAGUCUACAGCUCCUACAGUAGCUACAGCUUCUACAGUGUCAUCCACAUCUGCUCGGUCUACAGCAUCAACAGCUUCUACAACAUCAACAGCUUCUACAGUGUCUACAGCUUCUACAGAGCCUACAGCUUCUACAGUGUCAUCCACAUCUGCUCGGUCUACAGCAUCAACAGCUUCUACAAUAUCUACAGCAUCUACAGAGUCUACAGCUCCUACAGUAUCUACAGCUUCUACAGUGCCAUCCACAUCUGCUCAGUCUACAGCAUCUACAGAUUCUACAGCAUCAACAGAUUCUACAAUAUCUACAGCAUCUACAGAGCCUACAGCUUCUACAGUGUCAUCCACAUCUGCUCAGUCUACAGCCUCUACAGCAUCUACAGUAUCUACAGAUUCUACAGUGUCAUCCACUUCUGCUCAGUCUACAGCAUCUACAGAUUCUACAGCUUCUACAGCAUCAACAGAUUCUACAAUAUCUACAGCAUCUACAGAGUCUACAGCUCCUACAGUAUCUACAGCUCCUACCGCGUCAUCCACUUCUACUCAGUCUACAGCCUCUACAGCAUCUGCAGAGCCUACAGCUCAUACAGUAUCUACAGCGUCUACAGUGUCAUCCACAUCUGCUCAGUCUACAGCCUCUACAGCAUCUACAGAGCCUACAGCUCAUACAGUAUCUACAGCUUCUACAGUGUCAUCCACAUCUACUCAGUCUACAGCAUCUACAGAUUCUACAGCAUCAACAGAUUCUACAAUAUCUACAGCAUCUACAGAGCCUACAGCUCCUAUAGUAUCUACAGCUUCUACAGUGUCUUCCACAUCUGCUCAGUCUACAACCUCUGCAGCAUCUACAGAGUCUACAGCUCCUAUAGUAUCUACAGCUUCUACAGUUUCUUCCACAUCUGCUCAGUCUGCAGCCUCUGCAGCAUCUACAGAGUCUACAGCUCCUAUAGUAUCUACAGCUUCUACAGUGUCAUCCAGUUCUGCUCAGUCUACAGCAUCUACAGAGUCUACAGCUCCUACAGUAUCUACAGAUUCUACAGUGUCAUCCACUUCUGCUCAUACUACAGCAUCUACAGAGACCACAGCAUCUACAGAUUCUACCGCAUCUACAGAUUCUACAAUAUCUACAGCAUCUACAGAGUCUACAGUAUCUACAGAGUCUACAGCUUCUACAGUAUCUACAGCUUCUACAGUAUCAACCACAUCUGCUCAUACUACAGCAUCUACAGAGACCACAGCUCCUACAGUAUCUACAGCUUCUACAGUGUCUUCCGCAUCUGCUCAGUCUACAGCCUCUGCAGCAUCUACAGAGCCUACAGCUCCUAUACUAUCUACAGCUUCUACAGUGUCUACCACAUCUACUCAUUCUACAGCCUCUGCAGCAUCUACAGAGUCUACAGCUCCUAUAGUAUCUACAGCUUCUACAGUGUCAUCAACAUCUGCUCAGUCUACAGCAUCUACAGCGUCUACAGUAUCUACAUCAUCUACAAUAUCUACAGCAUCUACAGAGUCUACAAAUCCUACACUAUCUACAGCAUCUACAGUGUCUUCCACAUCUGCUCAUUCUACAGCCUCUGCAGCAUCUACAGAGCCUACAGCUCCUACAGUACCUACAGCUUCUACAGAGUCAUCCACUUCUGCUCAGUCUACAGCCUCUACAGCAUCUACAGUAUCUACAGAUUCUACAGUGUCAUCCACUUCUGCUCAUUCUACAGCAUCUACAGAGUCUACAGCUUCUACAAUAUCUACAGCUUCUACAAUAUCUACAACAUCUACAGAGCCUACAGCUCCUACAGUAUCUACAGCUUCUACAGUGUCAUCCACAUCUGCUCAUACUACAGCAUCUACAGAGACCACAGCAUCUACAACAUCUACAACUUCCACAGCAACUACUGCAAAAAUAGUACCUGAGGUGCUAACAGUUCUGGAGUUUCGCUCUAAUGACACAUUUAUUAUUGCACUCAGCGAUAACAACAGUGAGGAGUUCAAGAGUAGGGCUAAGCUUGUCAAAGAUCAGGUGAGGUUAAAUCCAUUUAUUAUAUACACUGUAAUACACUAA
ensembl:lncRNA